rnacentral:piRNA from 1 species
UGAUUUACGAGAAUUUGAUGGAAUCCGGA